CGGUCCCUCCCGAUCCCUCCCGGUCACUCCCGGCCCCGCCCCGACCACUCCCGGUCACUCCCGGUCACUCCCGGCCCCGCCCCGGUCACUCCCGGUCCCUCCCGGUCCCUCCCGGUCCCUCCCGGUCCCUCCCGGUCCCUCCCGGUCCCUCCCGGUCCCCGGGCUCACGUUGGAAGGUGCAGAGGAUGAAGAGCGGCGGCUCCUGAAGGGGGCUCAGGGAGGAGCCCCCCGGCAGCUGCGGGGCCACAGCUGGAUUGUCCCGGGCCGGCUCCUCGGUGUCCUGGGAGAGGACAGGGCUGGGCAGGGGGGACCCCGCUGUCCCCCUGUCCCGUGUCCCGUGUCCCGCUGUCCCGGCAUGGCCCCGCUCCGCAGGGCUCCAUCCCCGCCAUCCUUCCUCAUUCCACGCCUCCCAUCCAUCCAUCUCCCCCCCAUCUCCCCUCCUCCCGUUCUCCCGGUCCCUCCCGUUCCUACCGGGGCUCCCCGGAGCAGGAAGAGCGGUGCCCCGGCCGCGGGCUCGGCGGGCACCAGGCUGCGCUGCCAGCGCCGCCGGCGGCACCGGGGACCGGCCGGGACCUUGGGGCGGAAGGUGCAGCCCCAGAAGCACUCGGGGUGCCAGGGCUCGUCCUCCCACAGCUCCUCGGGGUCCUGCAGGGGCGGGACACGGGACACGGGACACGGGACACGGGGACAGCGGGACACGGGGGACAGAGGGACACGGGGACAGCGGGACACGGGGUCAGAGGGACACGGGGUCAGAGGGACACGGGGACAGAGGGACACGGGGACAGCGGGACACGGGGGACAGAGGGACACGGGGACAGCGGGACACGGGGACAGCGGGAUACGGGGUCAGAGGGACACGGGGGACAGAGGGACACGGGGGACAGCGGGACACGGGGACAGCGGGACACGGGGACAGNNNNNNNNNNNNNNNCGGGGACAGCGGGACACGGGGACAGCGGGACACAGAGUCAGCGGGACACGGGGGACAGAGGGACAGAGGGACACGGGGGACAGAGGGACACGGGGGACAGCGGGAUACGGGGGACAGAGGGACACGGGGACUGCCACCCUCAUCCCCAUUACCUCCUUCCCUGUCAUCAUCGUGCCA
rnacentral:lncRNA from 1 species